AGGGCUUUGAUGAAGCUUACCCGAAAGGGCAGUACAGUUGCGAGCUUGCCCCGCAAGGGCACGCGCUGAAGCAGCAAAAUUCCAAUGGAUCCUUCUGAGCUCU
rnacentral:snoRNA from 1 species